AGUGAACGCUGGCGGUAGGCCUAACACAUGCAAGUCGAACGGCAGCACAGUAAGAGCUUGCUCUUACGGGUGGCGAGUGGCGGACGGGUGAGGAAUACAUCGGAAUCUACUUUUUCGUGGGGGAUAACGUAGGGAAACUUACGCUAAUACCGCAUACGACCUACGGGUGAAAGCAGGGGAUCUUCGGACCUUGCGCGAUUGAAUGAGCUGAUGUCGGAUUAGCUAGUUGGCGGGGUAAAGGCCCACCAAGGCGACGAUCCGUAGCUGGUCUGAGAGGAUGAUCAGCCACACUGGAACUGAGACACGGUCCAGACUCCUACGGGAGGCAGCAGUGGGGAAUAUUGGACAAUGGGCGCAAGCCUGAUCUAGCCAUACCGCGUGGGUGAAGAAGGCCUUCGGGUUGUAAAGCCCUUUUGUUGGGAAAGAAAAGCAGCAGGUUAAUACCCCGCUGUUCUGACGGUACCCAAAGAAUAAGCACCGGCUAACUUCGUG
rnacentral:rRNA from 1 species